rnacentral:tRNA from 1 species
GGGCGAGUAGCUCAGUGGAUAGAGCAAUAGCCUUCUAAGCUAUCGGUCGAAGGUUCGAGUCCUUUCUCGCUCGCCA